rnacentral:rRNA from 1 species
CGGACAGAUGGGAGCUUGCUCCCUGAUGUUAGCGGCGGACGGGUGAGUAACACGUGGGUAACCUGCCUGUAAGACUGGGAUAACUCCGGGAAACCGGGGCUAAUACCGGAUGGUUGUUUGAACCGCAUGGUUCAAACAUAAAAGGUGGCUUCGRCUACCACUUACAGAUGGACCCGCGGCGCAUUAGCUAGUUGGUGAGGUAAYGGCUCACCAAGGCAACGAUGCGUAGCCGACCUGAGAGGGUGAUCGGCCACACUGGGACUGAGACACGGCCCAGACUCCUACGGGAGGCAGCAGUAGGGAAUCUUCCGCAAUGGACGAAAGUCUGACGGAGCAACGCCGCGUGAGUGAUGAAGGUUUUCGGAUCGUAAAGCUCUGUUGUUAGGGAAGAACAAGUACCGUUCGAAUAGGGCGGUACCUUGACGGUACCUAACCAGAAAGCCACGGCUAACUACGUGCCAGCAGCCGCGGUAAUACGUAGGUGGCAAGCGUUGUCCGGAAUUAUUGGGCGUAAAGGGCUCGCAGGCGGUUUCUUAAGUCUGAUGUGAAAGCCCCCGGCUCAACCGGGGAGGGUCAUUGGAAACUGGGGAACUUGAGUGCAGAAGAGGAGAGUGGAAUUCCACGUGUAGCGGUGAAAUGCGUAGAGAUGUGGAGGAACACCAGUGGCGAAGGCGACUCUCUGGUCUGUAACUGACGCUGAGGAGCGAAAGCGUGGGGAGCGAACAGGAUUAGAUACCCUGGUAGUCCACGCCGUAAACGAUGAGUGCUAAGUGUUAGGGGGUUUCCGCCCCUUAGUGCUGCAGCUAACGCAUUAAGCACUCCGCCUGGGGAGUACGGUCGCAAGACUGAAACUCAAAGGAAUUGACGGGG